rnacentral:rRNA from 1 species
CGCAAGCCUGACGGAGCUACACCGCGUGAGGGAAGACGGCCUUUGGGCUGUAAACCUCUUUUCUCAGGGAAGAAGGACUGACGGUACCUGAGGAAUCAGCCUCGGCUAACUCCGUGCCAGCAGCCGCGGUAAUACGGAGGAGGCAAGCGUUAUCCGGAAUUAUUGGGCGUAAAGCGUCCGCAGGGGGCGCAUCAAGUCUGCUGUUAAAGGCUGGAGCUAAACUCCGGUAGAGCAGUGGAAACUGGUGCGCUAGAGGGCGACAGGGGUAGAGGGAAUUCCCAGUGUAGCGGUGAAAUGCGUAGAGAUUGGGAAGAACACCGGUGGCGAAAGCGCUCUACUGGGUCGCACCUGACCCUCAGGGACGAAAGCUAAGGUAGCG